AAUCUAACUAUGGUUUUCUCCUCUAGGUUUUUGUUUUGGGGUUUUUUUUGUUUCUUUAAUACCAGUGUUCAAACUGGGUAUGGAACAGCCUCCUUGUCUAGCAUGGCACUGAUGUAUUGUGUGACAAAACGCACCAGGGAGAGGAUGCUGCAGGAACAGCCCAGACUAACGAUCUCCACAGUGUCAACUUUGAAAUCCCCUGGUUUUGGUGCACCCAGAGGGAGCAUAUGUCAUCCACCCCAAAGACUAACAAAGACUCUCCAGAACUGCCUAGUAUCAUCAAGAGAAGGAAUCAGGAACCCAUUUUCCUCAAUCUCCUUGGCAAAAAGGAAAAGAAAUGGGUAAGGACCAAUUCUUCAAGAAUCCUGAGGCAGCCCAUUCACUGGAACAAGAAAAUAUAUACCCAGAAGGUUAGAAGGUUCAAACAGUCUCCCUGAAGCCAUGCUCAGCCUCUUGACCUUCCAAAUGAAGACGUGUAGGCACUUGACAUUGUGUCUUUGCGGG
rnacentral:lncRNA from 1 species